rnacentral:lncRNA from 1 species
AAAACACGCCAUUCCCUUCUUUCUUCUCAACCAACACACAAUAACAACACACACCUCUCCAUUUUCAUGAAAAAAACCUCACAUUUCAUUCUUCCAUUCUUAAAGAACAACACAGCAACACUAGACCCACUUCACCAUUGGCACACAAUCUUAAUUCUCACAUUGACACUCACACUACAAUCAUCAAUACAUACAGAGAAACUUCACAUACACCUGAGAAGACACCCGUCAUUGCACUACCAUACACGCAUAUACAGUGAGAUCGAGAACGGAGAAGAGAGAAAAACAGAGGGAGUGGCA